rnacentral:rRNA from 1 species
GACGAACGCUGGCGGCGUGCUUAACACAUGCAAGUCGAACGGGCCCGCUCUCUUUUUUGGGGGUGGGUUGAGUGGCGAACGGGUGAGUAUCACGUGAGUAACCUGCCCCCUGCUCCUGGAUAACUGCUUGAAAGGGCGGCUAAUACGGGGUGUGCCGGCUGGUCCGCAUGGGCCUGGUCGGGAUAGUUUCAUCUUCGGGUGUUUCGGUGGGGGAUGGGCUCGCGGCCUAUCAGCUUGUUGGUGGGGUGAUGGCCCACCAAGGCGGUGACGGGUAGCCGGCCUGAGAGGGGGGGCGGCAACACUGGGACUGGGACACGGCCCAGACUCCGGCGGGAGGCAGCAGUGGGGGGUAUUGCACAAUGGGCGGAAGCCUGAUGCAGCGACGUCGCGUGAGGGAUGGAGGCCUUCGGGUGGGGAACCUCUUUCUCCGGUGGUGAAGGCCCUGUCCGUUGCGGCGGGGUUGACGGUAGCCGGGUAUGAAGCGCCGGCUAACUACGUG